rnacentral:rRNA from 1 species
AUUGAACGCUGGCGGCAGGCCUAACACAUGCAAGUCGAGCGGAUGAAGGGAGCUUGCUCCUGGAUUCAGCGGCGGACGGGUGAGUAAUGCCUAGGAAUCUGCCUGGUAGUGGGGGAUAACGUCCGGAAACGGGCGCUAAUACCGCAUACGUCCUGAGGGAGAAAGUGGGGGAUCUUCGGACCUCACGCUAUCAGAUGAGCCUAGGUCGGAUUAGCUAGUUGGUGGGGUAAAGGCCUACCAAGGCGACGAUCCGUAACUGGUCUGAGAGGAUGAUCAGUCACACUGGAACUGAGACACGGUCCAGACUCCUACGGGAGGCAGCAGUGGGGAAUAGUAGACAAUGGGCGAAAGCCUGAUCCAGCCAUGCCGCGUGUGUGAAGAAGGUCUUCGGAUUGUAAAGCACUUUAAGUUGGGAGGAAGGGCAGUAAGUUAAUACCUUGCUGUUUUGACGUUACCAACAGAAUAAGCACCGGCUAACUUCGUG